AUGCACCAUAACUAUAAGUCGCUCUGGAUAAGAGCAUCUGCUAAAUGACUAAAA
rfam:Salmo salar isolate Sally breed double haploid chromosome ssa16, whole genome shotgun sequence.